rnacentral:snRNA from 1 species
UCACUCCUGCAGUGUAUAUUCUAAAAUCGGAAUGAAACACAGAUUAGCACGGCCCUCGCACAAGGAUGAUCCUCAAAUUAGUGAAGCACUCCACAUUAAA